AGUGAAAUAAUCUGUAUGUAAACAAUUGUUGGAAAAAAUGACUUGUCAUGCACAAAGUAGAUGUCCUAACCGACUUGCCAAAACUAUGGUUUGUUAACAAGAAAUGUGUGGAGUUGUUGAGAAAUUAGUUUUCGUGACUCAACCAAAGUGUAUGUAAACUUCUGAUUUCAACUGUGUGUAUAUGUUAUAUAAUAUAACAUUUUCCAAAUGUGUAUGCAACCAAUACAUUUGUAUUUGCUAGAAUCCCUCUUCUCUAACCUGCGUUGACUGUUGUUUGUGUGUUCCAGGUGUGGUUGUUCUGUGGUCUACCAGACCCUUGAGAUGGCUGCCUGGUCCCUGGCCCCGUUCGUCAUGGUAACCUAGGUCCACCUCCACCCUCCAGGCCCUUCCGGAGGACCUGCCUCUGGAGCCCGGACCUAGAACCCAGGGACCGGUUAGCCAUCACAUCCACGGAACCCUAUUCCAGACGACCACACAGACCCCAGGCGGCAGGAAGUGACAUCAGCAAAGCACUCCAACCACGACUGUAGCUCGCCUCCAGUGACCUGGGGGCCGCGUGCGGACGUGCUGGGGGCCGCGUGCUGGGGGCCGCGUGCGGACGUGCUGGGGGCCGCGUGCGGACGUGCUGGGGGCCGCGUGCGGACGUGCUGGGGGCCGCGUGCGGACGUGCUGGGGGCCGCGUGCGGACGUGCUGGGGGCCGCGUGCGGACGUGCUGGGGGCCGCGUGCGGACGUGCUGGGGGUCCCGCUGGCUGCUCCUUUCGGAGAGAUAAAGGAGCUGCGUGAGGAGACACUGGCCUUCCUUGUAAACAUGUGCACUCAGCGCCAGCGUGGAGAGCCCUACGCUGUGAGGCAUGGAGGAGGAGAAAGAGGGAACCACUGUGAAGACCCCUGCUCCUGGGGUGUCUGUUGCAGUACUGGCCCUGGGAGAGAUCCUGAGGUGGCUAGAAAGAGAGGAGGGGGUAAGGAAGGAAGGAAGGAAGGAAGGAAGGAAGGAAGGAAGGAAGGAAAGGAAGGAAGGAAGGAAGGAAAGGAAGGAAAGGAGAGGCACCCUCUGGCCCCAGGAGACAAUCAUCUCUACCCUCACUACCCUGGCCCUGCAUGAGACCCACCCUCAGUCUCCAGCUUCAGUCUCCAAGUAAACCAAAGGGCAGGAUGAUCGGAGGAUAUCCUGAUGUAGCAAAGGAUCGUUCACUUAUAAACCAGGUUGGUUGCCUGAUGUGGCUGUCUCUUGCUCCUGCUCUCCUUCGCCAUCUCCCGGCAGCCACUCUGUCAGGGUGAGGAUGCCCAUUGGCACCUGCCCCCACAGCUGGCACAGCAACCCUACAGCCAGGGCCACAGGAUGAGGAGGUGUUCCUGUUUGAGGAGGGAGAUCUGAACCUGUGGGCCGAGCCUGUCCAGUGGAUGCAGCUGCUACACAGAUACCUGGGUGUCCUCUUCAAAGCCCCAGAGCUGAAGGCUCUGAACCAGAACCAGGCAGAGCUCCUCAGUCUGUCAGCCCAGGAAGAUGCCAUGUCCCUGGCCACCCAUCAGGCUCUGGAGGGCCUCCCAGCCCUGGCCCAGUUCUCCUGCACCAUAGAGCAUGCCCGGCUGGCCUGCAGCAGGAGAGGGCCACACUGGCUACGGGUUUUAGACUCCAAGAAACAUUCUGAAUUUAACACUUGUAAAAAGCAAUAUACACAUUUAUCUUGACUAAAAUGGUUUGUUUUUUAUCAGCGACGGAUGUAUGGGUUUUAGAAGGGAAUGUAAAGUGUUUAACUUUUGAGUUUUGUCUGUGUUUUUCAAAGUAAAGAUUCCUAAUUCAUGUCUCGCGAUUCUUGAAAACAACCACAGGGCGGUAUGUGUAUGGAUUUGUUUUUAAUCUAAUAUGUAUUAGCACUUUUUCCAGUGGACUCUUUUCAUCCCUUGGCAUAGGUUUUUCUGCCUCCUUGGUUUCCUAGGUUACGUAAUUAGGAGGGCAACACAAUGGUCCACUGUCCUGUGUUAGCGACUGCCCAGACGGCUGGGCAGUCUUGCGCUGUAGUAUGGCAAUGUUCCCUGUAGAAAUGAUGUAAUGUUCUGGAACUCUUGAACAUCCCCCAAUAAAAACAGCACUGUGUGAUGAGUGUUUUUUUGUUUUUUGUUUUUUGCGGAUGAGGACAUAUUCAAGG